ACCAGUGUGCUGCAAUGGAGGCAGACAGGGUUGAGAAGUCGGCCCCUGCCCUGGGUCUGGAGUCAGAGCCCCUCACGGGCUCCCUGCUGAGAAGCUCUCCGGGACUGCUGAGCCCCCGAUGUGACAGACAUCGGCCUGUGCCUACUGACACAUCUCUAUGACCAUGCGUUCUCGUGCUGCACUGAGGCCUGCUACCCUUGUGAGGGGCUCCAAGAGGUUCCAUGACUCGUCAGAUGUCCAAAGCCGUGCGAGUGGGGUUAGUCUCUAAAAGCAGAAUUGUUAGACGAAAAGGUACGAAUUCGUACAGCUCCUGAUGCUGAUUCCCAAAGCUUUCCGAAAGCCGGAGCCAUCCAAAACCUCUCAUCAGAGUACAGCACUGCCUUUCCCAGAAACGCUGAGGCAGAUCCACCCUGACCCACAGGACUGCUGAGCACUGAGGCUGUGUCACACUAAAACUGAGUGCCGUGUUGCCUGGGUUGAAAGUCACCCUGUCUCCAGAGAUGUUCCACUGCCUCCUGCAGUCUGGCUGCCAGAAGAAACCACAGAUCUCUCUCUUGGUCACAAACAAAAUGUUUUCUUUCUCUG